UUGCGGGGCUGCUUAUCUCGCAGCAUCCCAGAGCGCAGGAGCAAUCCGCACGAAACAGCCGCUUGACGACGAGAGGGUGCGCGCGUGGCGCGCGGAGCGAGCCCGAGGCUAGAUCGCGCUCGUCGAACCACCACGUCCGUUAAAACGACGAGAAGAGAGAAAAAGCUGCGUCGAGGCUAUCCAUCACGAGGCGUUAGGAGUAGUUAGGAGGAACUUUUACCGUGACCAUCGCAUCGAUAAUCCUUGGUGACUACUCGCCCAUCGAGAGAGACCCAUCCCUCCUUUCAAAGUAACGCUUCCCUUCUUCUUACAUUGAUCGUUGGUAUCUAUCUUGAGUCAGCUACUUGCCAUUCAAAUACAUACAUAGAUAACGAUCUAGACGAUGAUUAAUCAAGGUUUCGGUGGUACCUCGUGUCACGCUUUAUCGCUUUACGAUCUUCGACGCAAAUAGUCGGGAUUUCUGAGACAAGACAUCCUGCAUAUAGUUCAACGAACUUGAAUCAGUCGAUUCAACAUAGAUUUCGCAGGACGUACCGUGAGUAAUAGACCAUAAUAGUCGCGUCGUGACAGAUUUAAAGGGGAAGAAACAAAUGGAAGGAAAAGGGAGAACGGCCAAGACGUUACAAAUAUUUUUAAUCGUAGAACUAUAUUAAAGGAACAUAAUAAAUAACGAACUGCAAAGAUUCUAUCUCUAUUUACUCUAGCUUACCGUCUCCGUUAUAUGGACGAUUCUCGCAGUAGCCUCAUUGAAAUACUUUCCGCCGUACUCUACGACAAUACCGUACUCCGACUCUCGGUAUCCGAUAUAACCAAUAUCGUUAUUCUUCACUAUUCCUUGGACUUAACUUUGUCUUUCUUUCUCUCUCCCUCUCUCUCUCUCUCUCUCUUUCUCUUUC